rnacentral:rRNA from 1 species
GACGAACGCUGGCGGCGUGCUUAACACAUGCAAGUCGAACGGAAAGGCCCUGCUUUUGUGGGGUGCUCGAGUGGCGAACGGGUGAGUAACACGUGAGUAACCUGCCCUUGACUUUGGGAUAACUUCAGGAAACUGGGGCUAAUACCGGAUAGGAGCUCCUGCUGCAUGGUGGGGGUUGGAAAGUUUCGGCGGUUGGGGAUGGACUCGCGGCUUAACAGCUUGUUGGUGGGGUAGUGGAUUACCAAGGCUUUGACGGGUAGCCGGCCUGGGAGGGGGACCUGCCACGUUGGGCCUGGGAUGAGGCCCAGACUACAAUGCGAGGCAACGGAGGAGAAGAUUGUACUGUGGGCUGGAGCAUGAUGCAGCCAAGCCACGUGGGGUGAGAGAUGAAGCGGGUUGGAAUGUAAUUUCGCUUGACACGAGGCGUGAGUGACGGUAAUGGGUAAAGAAGCUCCGGCUAACUACGUG